AAGCAGGUUAAUAUUCCUGCACUUUUCUACAGUGCGAUGUGGGGACGGAGAAGGUUAGGUCUACCAGGCGUUGGUUGUCCUGGGGAAAGGCGGUAGGCAUGAUUCUUAGGCAAAUCCGGGAAUCUCUAUGCCGAGCACCGAGACGAGUCCUAUGAGGACGAAGUGACUGACACCACGCUUCCAGGAAAAGCCACUAAGCUUCAGCUGUAGAAAAACCGUACCGCAAACCGACACAGGUAGGCAGGGUGAGAAUCCCAAGGCGCUUGAGAGAACUCGGGUGAAGGAACUAGGCAAAAUGGCACCGUAACUUCGGGAGAAGGUGCGCCUCUUGGUGUGGUCACGUGCGUGACUGAGCAUCGAGGGGUCGCAGUAACCUGGCCGCUGCGACUGUUUAUCAAAAACACAGCACUCUGCAAACACGAAAGUGGACGUAUAGGGUGUGACGCCUGCCCGGUGCUGGAAGGUUAAUUGAUGGGGUCAGCCGCAAGGCGAAGCUCUUGAUCGAAGCCCUAGUAAACGGCGGCCGUAACUAUAACGGUCCUAAGGUAGCGAAAUUCCUUGUCGGGUAAGUUCCGACCUGCACGAAUGGCGUAACGACAGCGGCGCUGUCUCCACCCGAGACUCAGUGAAAUUGAAAUCGCUGUGAAGAUGCAGCGUUCCCGCGGCAAGACGGAAAGACCCCGUGAACCUUUACUAUAGCUUUACACUGAACGUUGAGUUCUUCUGUGUAGGAUAGGUGGGAGGCUAUGAAACCAGGACGCUAGUUCUGGUGGAGCCAUCCUUGAAAUACCACCCUGAAGUGCUUGACGUUCUAACCUAGGUCCGUAAUCCGGAUCGGGGACCGUGUAUGGUGGGUAGUUUGACUGGGGCGGUCUCCUCCCAAAGAGUAACGGAGGAGCACGAAGGUACGCUCAGCGCGGUCGGACAUCGCGCACUGUGUGCAAAGGCAUAAGCGUGCUUGACUGCGAGAUCGACGGAUCAAGCAGGUACGAAAGUAGGUCUUAGUGAUCCGGUGGUUCUGUAUGGAAGGGCCAUCGCUCAACGGAUAAAAGGUACUCCGGGGAUAACAGGCUGAUACCGCCCAAGAGUUCAUAUCGACGGCGGUGUUUGGCACCUCGAUGUCGGCUCAUCACAUCCUGGGGCUGUAGCCGGUCCCAAGGGUAUGGCUGUUCGCCAUUUAAAGUGGUACGCGAGCUGGGUUCAGAACGUCGUGAGACAGUUCGGUCCCUAUCUGUCGUGGGCGUUGGAGAUUUGAGGGGGGCUGCUCCUAGUACGAGAGGACCGGAGUGGACGUUCCGCUGGUGUUCGGGUUGUCAUGCCCAUGGCAUUGCCCGGUAGCUACGAACGGAAGUGAUAACCGCUGAAAGCAUCUAAGCGGGAAGCACGCCCCAAGAUGAGAUCUCCCGAGAGCUUGACUCUCCUAAAGGCACCAUCAAGACUAGGUGGUUGAUAGGCACGGUGUGGAAGUGCAGCAAUGCAUUGAGCUUACGUGUACUAAUGAGCCGUGAGGCUUGACCU
rnacentral:rRNA from 1 species